CUUUUUCCCUUAGAUUGACGCUGCGGCAGGCCUAACACAUGCAAGUCGAGCGGUAGCACAGAGAGCUUGCUCUCGGGUGACGAGCGGCGGACGGGUGAGUAAUGUCUGGGAAACUGCCUGAUGGAGGGGGAUAACUACUGGAAACGGUAGCUAAUACCGCAUAACGUCGCAAGACCAAAGUGGGGGACCUUCGGGCCUCAUGCCAUCAGAUGUGCCCAGAUGGGAUUAGCUAGUAGGUGGGGUAACGGCUCACCUAGGCGACGAUCCCUAGCUGGUCUGAGAGGAUGACCAGCCACACUGGAACUGAGACACGGUCCAGACUCCUACGGGAGGCAGCAGUGGGGAAUAUUGCACAAUGGGCGCAAGCCUGAUGCAGCCAUGCCGCGUGUGUGAAGAAGGCCUUCGGGUUGUAAAGCACUUUCAGCGGGGAGGAAGGCGGUGAGGUUAAUAACCUCAUCGAUUGACGUUACCCGCAGAAGAAGCACCGGCUAACUCCGUGCCAGCAGCCGCGGUAAUACGGAGGGUGCAAGCGUUAAUCGGAAUUACUGGGCGUAAAGCGCACGCAGGCGGUCUGUCAAGUCGGAUGUGAAAUCCCCGGGCUCAACCUGGGAACUGCAUUCGAAACUGGCAGGCUAGAGUCUUGUAGAGGGGGGUAGAAUUCCAGGUGUAGCGGUGAAAUGCGUAGAGAUCUGGAGGAAUACCGGUGGCGAAGGCGGCCCCCUGGACAAAGACUGACGCUCAGGUGCGAAAGCGUGGGGAGCAAACAGGAUUAGAUACCCUGGUAGUCCACGCCGUAAACGAUGUCGAUUUGGAGGUUGUGCCCUUGAGGCGUGGCUUCCGGAGCUAACGCGUUAAAUCGACCGCCUGGGGAGUACGGCCGCAAGGUUAAAACUCAAAUGAAUUGACGGGGGCCCGCACAAGCGGUGGAGCAUGUGGUUUAAUUCGAUGCAACGCGAAGAACCUUACCUGGUCUUGACAUCCACAGAACUUUCCAGAGAUGGAUUGGUGCCUUCGGGAACUGUGAGACAGGUGCUGCAUGGCUGUCGUCAGCUCGUGUUGUGAAAUGUUGGGUUAAGUCCCGCAACGAGCGCAACCCUUAUCCUUUGUUGCCAGCGGUCCGGCCGGGAACUCAAAGGAGACUGCCAGUGAUAAACUGGAGGAAGGUGGGGAUGACGUCAAGUCAUCAUGGCCCUUACGACCAGGGCUACACACGUGCUACAAUGGCAUAUACAAAGAGAAGCGACCUCGCGAGAGCAAGCGGACCUCAUAAAGUAUGUCGUAGUCCGGAUUGGAGUCUGCAACUCGACUCCAUGAAGUCGGAAUCGCUAGUAAUCGUAGAUCAGAAUGCUACGGUGAAUACGUUCCCGGGCCUUGUACACACCGCCCGUCACACCAUGGGAGUGGGUUGCAAAAGAAGUAGGUAGCUUAACCUUCGGGAGGGCGCUUACCACUUUGUGAUUCAUGACUGGGGUGAGUCUAAAAGGGGAAAAAAACCAAAAAAGACCCCCCC
rnacentral:rRNA from 1 species